rnacentral:rRNA from 1 species
GACGAACGCUGGCGGCGUGCCUAAUACAUGCAAGUAGAACGCACAGUUUAUACCGUAGCUUGCUACACCAUAGACUGUGAGUUGCGAACGGGUGAGUAACGCGUAGGUAACCUGCCUGGUAGCGGGAGAUAACUAUUGGAAACGAUAGCUAAUACCGCAUAAUAUUAAUUAUUGCAUGAUAAUUGAUUGAAAGAUGCAACUGCAUCACUACCAGAUGGACCUGCGUUGUAUUAGCUAGUAGGUGAGGUAACGGCUCACCUAGGCGACGAUACAUAGCCGACCUGAGAGGGUGAUCGGCCACACUGGGACUGAGACACGGCCCAGACUCCUACGGGAGGCAGCAGUAGGGAAUCUUCGGCAAUGGACGAAAGUCUGACCGAGCAACGCCGCGUGAGUGAAGAAGGUUUUCGGAUCGUAAAGCUCUGUUGUAAGAGAAGAACGGGUGUGAGAGUGGAAAGUUCACACUGUGACGGUAUCUUACCAGAAAGGGACGGCUAACUACGUG